UGGGGAAUAUUGGACAAUGGGCGAAAGCCUGAUCCAGCCAUGCCGCGUGUGUGAAGAAGGUCUUCGGCUUGUAAAGCACUUUAAGUUGGGAGGAAGGGCAUUAACCUAAUACGUUAGUGUUUUGACGUUACCGACAGAAUAAGCACCGGCUAACUCUGUGCCAGCAGCCGCGGUAAUACAGAAGGUGCAAGCGUUAAUCGGAAUUACUGGGCGUAAAGCGCGCGUAGGUGGUUUGUUAAGUUGGAUGUGAAAUCCCCGGGCUCAACCUGGGAACUGCAUUCAAAACUGACUGACUAGAGUAUGGUAGAGGGUGGUGGAAUUUCCUGUGUAGCGGUGAAAUGCGUAGAUAUAGGAAGGAACACCAGUGGCGAAGGCGACCACCUGGACUAAUACUGACACUGAGGUGCGAAAGCGUGGGGAGCAAACA
rnacentral:rRNA from 1 species